UAACCAUCGGUAUUUGUCUUAUUAAUGUUGUCGUGUGAAUUACAGGAAGAAGUUUCAGAGUUUUCAAGAUCGGCGGCUCAGAGUCAAUGAGGACGACGCCUCCACGUUAAAGAAAGCCAGGACGGACGGGAAGUUUCAUGAAAGUCUGCUUGACAGGAGAAGCAAGAUGAAAGCAGACAGGUACUGCAAGUGAAGAUUCAACUAUGCUGCCAUGUCUCUGUAAAUGUCACCUUUUCAUUAUUGUGGUCUUUUAAUCUAAGAUCAGAUUUUAUUUUUAAUAAUAAUAAACAUUAAAAGUUCAAAUCUG